GAGAGGCUCGUGUCAGUGGAAGUCGGGGUGUCGGCUGCCCGCCGCGGGAAGGCCUAGCGGUGCCUGCGGGAGGUGGAAAAGGAGGGGGGUCAGAGGUCAGUCCAGAGAGAAGGUGGCGAGCUGAAGCGGCGGCCAGUUACGUGGCGGACCUGCGGGUCUCAGCUGGCACGUCACUUCCGACUGGUUGAGUUUUAGCCUUUUAACAUUCCAGGAUUAGGUAACCAUUCCGAGGAGGAAGAGUAUUUCAAAAAGUCUGUGAAGAAUGUGUUUGCCUGGAGACUGAUUAUUAACAAGAUUUUAUGCUGAAUAUGGAAGGAAAGGCACACAACCAAGUUUCCAGUCUCCUAACUUCACAGAUUCCUGUGGUGUGGACUUGUGCCAUUCCUCCCCGCUGAGGGAGGAGGGUCUUGCCAGGCUACUGCCUUUUACAAGGCCCCUGCUUGGAGAAUGGUUGUACCAUUGUGCAGCAGUUCAUGGUUUAUGGCAACAUGGAACAAAAAACUGAUUCCUAGACUGGUGUUUCGGCCAGCUUCCCUGAAACGACUGCAUUCAGACAUCCUGGCUUUUUCUGACCCCUGGUAUCUUGUGACAACAUUGUCCUACCUGGAAUCCACCCCACUUUGCUACCAGAGCAACUUAAAGCCAGGGAUGUCUCCAAGUGUAGCAGACUUCUAAAACUUAGGAUUUUGUACUCCAUUGCCUGUAAAAUAGUUUCCGGUAGACCCCUUAAGCUCCCUCCUUUCCUUGGUUUAUCUCCCAAUAUAUCUCGCCCCGGAUGCACAUCUCUGCACUUUCUACCUUGUAAAAAGUGGUUGCUUUUUCUAUUUGUAGAAUUGCAGUAAUUCUUUUCUCAGAUCUCCAAUUGAUUUCAUAGGUGUUCAGAAUGAUUUUGCAACGAUCUAGUUGAAUUCCAGGGACCAGACAAAAUUAGGAUCCCAUACUCCUCUGCCAUCUUAAAUCCUACUGACCCAUUUAUUCUUUAGUAGGGUACUCUUUAUCAUCCAUGUAUUUGUGGUCCUU